rnacentral:lncRNA from 1 species
CAGCCGCAGUCACAGCCUCAGCCGCAGCGGCCGUGCUACCUAGGUGAUAGCGGAGCGGCUGGGUAGGAAGCAAUUGUUCUCAAACUUCACUAGCCCCGUCGGCGCGGACGCUUGUCGAGAAUGCAGAUUCCUGGGUACUGCCAGAUACGGUUGGUGAUCUUGUAGGGCUGGAGUGGAAGCCAUGAAUCUGCAUUUUCAUCAUUUCUGGCCCUCUGCCCGGGCUGGGGUGAUUCACGGGGAUUCGUAGUGGCCCCAAAGGAGCACGCAGAACCUCGGCUGCUGUGCAUUUAUCACCUCUUUUGUUCCCGGAGGCCGCACCCCAGGUCCAGUUUACACAGCUGCCAACUCCUUUUCUUGGUUCCCACUGGAAUCUAGGAAGAAAACUCGCCCUUUACUUCUCCGCCCCACACCCGACGACGGAGUGUCUAGAGGUCUGGUCGGCCUUGGCUGUGCGGAGGGCUAGGCCUGACGAGCGGGCGCUGAUGCGGCGCAGACCCCGCCGGACCUCUUGGUCGGCCCGGGGUAGGCUGGGGAGCCGCGGGAACAGGACUGGAUAGGGAAAGCGGCACCGCAGCGUCCACGGGCAAGCUGAAAGUCCGCUUGAUGUCUUUGCAUCACAGUGGCGCCCUCCCCGCAGGAACGCCCGGCCGCCUGCACCGAACGUUUGCCUGCAGGGAACGGCCAACCCGCCCUGAAAUACUCUUUUUGUGGGCUGCAGCUUUCGGGUAUUUUAAGCCAUGGUUCUGUGCCCUUCCUUGUUUUCAAAAACACCACAGCCAAAGGCUGCGGGUUGUGUGCUUUCAUUUUGUGUUAAGUUCUGUGGUGGAGACCUGGAGUCUGUUUUUCCAAAUAGGCACCUUGAAAUAGAUACGCUUCUUAAGCGGGGAAAGUACGAGUAGGUCCUAUUAUUUGCAAUGUUUUAGCCUUUCCAGACUCCGUACAAAUGACUAAAUGAAGAUUGGAUCGUAUUUUCAGGCACUGCACCAAUGAUAGAAAAUUCUCAACUUGGGGUCAAAAGCAAGGGCAGCUUUCGUUUUUCUUAAAUAUGCUUCUGAUCAAAUAUCUAAAGUGUUGAAAGAAACCUAACCCUUAAUAGCACAAUUUACAGGAGUGCAUAAUUUCCUAGGACUGACAUUUAGUUCCAAAUGUUUUAAAGUCAAUUACAACAUCAUCUCACCCUAUAAAUUGAGCAUACCACAAAAAAGUUCUCAUUUUGUGUCCUCCCAUCCCAUUCUCCUCACUAACCAAAGGCUAGGAAUUAUCUGUGAAUGUAGGACCACUGGAUUUGCAGUCUUCAUCUGACACUGUGGAGAGUUUCUAGGAAUGAAACAGAUAUAUGGCCUUGGGUCCCCUUUUUUUUUCUUUUUUUUUUUUUUAAUAGAGACGAGCAUCUCACUAUGUUGCCUAGGGUAGUCUUGAACUCCUGGCCUCAAGCAAUCCCCACCCGACUCCGCCUCUCGAAGUGAUGGGAUUACAGGCAUAAACCACCACGCCUGGCCAGAAGGUGCUUUAACACCAAAUCUGAAAAUUGUUCAGAAGAGAAACAUUGAGCAUGAACACCAUCUGUGCGAGUCAUUUACUUAUUGCCCCUCACCUCUAAAUCUACCUUCUGUACUCUUCUUCCCUGUAAUGAUGGGGCUAGUUGUCCUCAAACUGUUUCUCAGACUUCUUUUUAAGCUUGCUUCCUGUUCAGUUCUGCCAAUAGGGGUCACUAGAGAGAGACUGGGAGGCAGAAGGAGAGAAUAUGCUUCCUGUUUUUUCUGUUCUUGUUAAUGUUGCUUACAGGACCAGCAAUGCUUCUUCACCUAGAGACACUUCUCCCAGCAGUGGCAGUGCCACUUCAGCUUCUUUCAGCACUACUGGAAUCAGCCUCAGUGAUUCCCCCUGUACCCGCUCAGAGAUUAUCCACAGCAGCCAGAUGGUUCUACCUUCCACAAAGAUUGUGGUUGCAAUUCUGGGCUUCUAAGUUCUGGUUACUUCAUAUUUUUCCUUUUGUUCCUCCAGCCCUAGAGGUGGUAGCUGCUUUCUGAAGUUAUUAUUUCUAGAUGACUUUUGGUUUUUCAGCCUUUGUAUUUUGCUUUUCAGCCCUCUAAUGCCUGUAUAACCAAUUUCCCUGUAAUAAAUAAAUUUCCUCCAUUGAAAUAC